GAUGAAGAACGCAGCGAAAUGCGAUAAGUAAUGCGAAUUGCAGAAUUUCCGUGAGUCAUCGAAUCUUUGAACGCACAUUGCACCCACUGGUAUUCCGGUGGGCAUGCCUGUUCGAGCGUCAUUAUCCUCCCUCAAACCUCGGGUUUGGUGUUGGACCCAAGUUGUGUGAACAACUGGUCUCAAAGACAAUGACGGCGUCCGUGGGACCCUCGGUGCAACGAGCUUUUAAACGAGCACGCGUCGAGUUUCAAGGACCUUCCGGGCCGGUCUCCUUCUUUUAUUUACAAAGGUUGACCUCGGAUCAGGUAGGAAUACCCGCUGAACUUAAGCAUAUCAAUAAGCGGAGGA
rnacentral:misc_RNA from 1 species